rnacentral:lncRNA from 1 species
UUAGAUUUGUGCUGGGGCAUUCAAAUUCUAACAAUACGUUAUUUCAGGAGUUUUUGUUUUUUGGGACACCCUGUAGUCUAUAGCUUUAGAAUUAUGUGAAAGAAUCAUUCACUCAUGUUGAUAAUUUUAAAGCGUAUACCUUACUUGUAUUAAAAUUGGCGCAGUACUAGAAUUCGCGCAGCGCUGGGUGCGCGAAUUUUAGUACUGCGCGAAAUAUAAUCCGCGCGAAAAGCUUUGUGGUGUAAUA